GUUCCUCCAAUCCCCAGCACCCCUGUCUACCUUGCUCUGAUUUGUUGUAUUCCUAGCACUUACUACUAUGGAAUUUUCUUCUUAUGUGUUGAUUGUCUGUUUUCCCACCACCCCCAGUAGAAUGUAAGCUCCAGGAGAGCAGAAACUGUGUCUUUCUUGUUGACCUUUUCUAUCUCCAGUUUUCAGAACAGGGCUUAGCACAUAGGAAGCACCCAAUCAAUAUUUGUUGGAUGAAUGAAAUGCCUGGGGAAUAACAUGAAUAGAUGUUUCAUUGAAAGUGGAUCACUGGCUGCUCUGUGGAAAGUAGAUUAGAAGGAGGCCAGGCUGGAAGCAAGGGACAAGUGAGAAGCUACUUUGUUGGUGCAAGAGAGAGAUGUUAGCUCUUCAUAAGAGUUCAGUGAGUUAAUUCUACCCUUGUCAUCGCUCCCUUUGUUUUACAGAUGAGGAAACUAAGGCAUAGAGAAGUUCAUACAGCCAAUCACCUGGGUGGUGCUAGCACACAGUCUGGCUUCAGAGUCCAUGCCCUUGGCCCCUGUGCCAUACUGCCUUUUUGAGGAGCGCCGCCCAGUUCUACAGAAUUGCACCUGUAAUCCCAGCUACUCUGGAGGCUGAGCAGAAGGAUCACUUGAACCCAGGAGUUCCAGGAUGUAGUACGCUGUGAUUGCACCUGUGAAUAGCCACUGCGUUCCAGCCUGGGCAACAUUGCCAGUCUCUUUAAAAAAAAAAAUUAAACUAAACUUUAAAUUUGUUGUGAUUUUGUCUUUUGACAAAGAUGAAAGGGCAGGGAAGUCAAUGUGAAUUGCCCCAAAUCACACUUGUCAAAACAAGUGCUGUCCAACUGAUUUGGUUUUAAAUUCUC
rnacentral:lncRNA from 13 species